rnacentral:pre_miRNA from 1 species
AAUAAACCAAUAUUUUACUUUUUAGCUACAAUGUUUGAUGCUUCGUCUUAUUUAAAUCUUUGUACGAUUAAUAUUUUUUUUUAUUAGAUGAUAAAUCAUGAAUAGGACUUUACGUGUGACUAUUUUUUUUAAUUUCUUGAAAAAUUUUCAAAUAAGAUGAAUGGUCAAACGUUAGACAUAGAUGGUCAAAAGUUUGCCUUAUU